rnacentral:misc_RNA from 1 species
GAAAAUCUAUGGCAAAGCUGGCAAAUCCUUUUUCAGCUGGUGCAUUAGCAAAAACAGGUGAUGCUGAUGUCAUAGUACAGAUAUCACUGCUAAAUCUGGACCCAAGCAACAAAGGACUCUGUAGUCCACCAUUGACGUAGCUCCCAACUGUGAAAUUCCUCUCAUACAUUGAUGGCCUACAAUAACCAUGGUUGCGAGAAUGCAGACCCUGGGAAAAGCUAGAGCUGAGACGGUACUGCCCAGCAACCUUUUGGACGACACUCGGAUGGUUGACCUGAUCCGCCAUUGGAAGCGCAGCGAAGCCGGCGCGAACUCUAGGGCACAACUGAGCCUCUCGCUCUCCGCCCUUCGUGAAAUGAACGAUGGAGAGCG